GAUGCCAGCUAGCGAUCCGCCAAAGUUCCUCCGAUGACUUGGUGGGCAGCUUCCGGGAAACCAAAGCAUUUGGGUUCCGGGGGAAGUAUGGUUGCAAAGCUGAAACUUAAAGGAAUUGACGGAAGGGCACCACCAGGAGUGGAGCCUGCGGCUUAAUUUGACUCAACACGGGAAACCUCACCAGGCCCGGACACCGGAAGGAUUGACAGAUUGAGAGCUCUUUCUUGAUUCGGUGGGUGGUGGUGCAUGGCCGUUCUUAGUUGGUGGAGCGAUUUGUCUGGUUAAUUCCGAUAACGAACGAGACUCUAGCCUACUAAAUAGACGUACUUUAUUACCGGCAUCUCAAGGCCCAUCGGCUGUAUUGUUACUGAAUGUUAUUUGUAUAUUUUGUUGAUAUAUAUUUAUAA
rnacentral:rRNA from 1 species